UACGUAGGGUGCAAGCGUUAAUCGGAAUUACUGGGCGUAAAGCGCGCGUAGGCGGCUUUGCAAGUCGGGUGUGAAAUCCCCAGGCCUAACCUGGGAACUGCAUUCGAGACUGCAUGGCUAGAGUAUCGGAGAGGGAAGUGGAAUUUCAGGUGUAGCGGUGAAAUGCGUAGAUAUCUGGAGGAACACCGGUGGCGAAGGCGGCAUCCUGGACCGGUAUUGACGCUGAUGCGCGAAAGCCAGGGGAGCAAACGGG
rnacentral:rRNA from 1 species